rnacentral:lncRNA from 1 species
GAUACAUAGGGUGAGAAACGGAGGCCUUCAGCCAACAGCUGGGAGAAGCUGAGUCCCAUCAGCCAUUCAAAAGACUGCAGCCCCAGCCAAGAGUUUGAUGUAACCUCAGGAGAGACCCUGAGCCAGAACCACCUAGAAAUCUCCAAGUGAGAAGACCUUACUUGUCUUCUGAAAGUCUGGCCAACGAGCUAUACCUAGUGAUUCCAAAGUCCACAUAUAUUUACUCUGUUCUCACUGUACAAAGUAACCACUCUGAAGUCAAAAAAGCUGGGAUACAUGAAGACUGCCAUCCCUUGAGUCACUUGCCCUGUAGCUGCCACUGUUGGAAAAGGGCUUGCUUCUGUGUCCUUGUGCCCACUUUGAAAAUCCCUGGGAAGUCCUUGGAGUCAGAUGAGCAGGCCUCCGCCACUCUGCCAAAAAGUCUGUUCACACAAAUGGGCACUCAACAUCAAUGAAGUAACAGCAAAGUCACAUAAUAAAAGCAUGGAAUUAAGACAAGCUGAAGAUUCGGAUGCAAUAAAACAACCACCCAUUAUUA